rnacentral:rRNA from 1 species
UAAUGGCCUACCAAGGCGAAGAUCGGUAUCCGGCCUGAGAGGGCGCACGGACACACUGGAACUGAAACACGGUCCAGACUCCUACGGGAGGCAGCAGUGGGGAAUUUUGCGCAAUGGGGGAAACCCUGACGCAGCAACGCCGCGUAGAGGAUGAAGCCCCUUGGGGUGUAAACUCCUUUCGACCGGGAAGAUGAUGACGGUACCGGUGGAAGAAGCACCGGCUAACUCUGUGCCAGCAGCCGCGGUAAUACAGAGGGUGCGAGCGUUGUUCGGAAUUAUUGGGCGUAAAGCGUGCGCAGGCGGUUUUGUAAGACAGAUGCGAAAUGCCCGGGCUUAACCUGGGAACUGCAU